CUCUCCCCUCUUUCUCUUCUUCUAUAAAUUCCUUUCAUUUUUCUGUAAUGACCCCGGACAAUCCGCAACCCGCCGAUAAUGAUAACUCGCUGAGGCGUGGAUGGCGGAGAGGAUGAUGGUGGUUUCCGGCAGCGAAUCCGAUGUAACCGAGGAGGGCUUCCACAGCAAAUUGUAAAAAAGGGAACUGUGGGCCUUCUGGGUUGAAUUCAGAUGGUUUAUGGGCCUCAGAGCUUCACUGGUCCAUGAGCCUCUUGUAACCGGGGAAUGAAAACCGGGUCGUCCUCCCCGUCUGAUCCUCAGGUGAGCGGAUACUGGGUCCGCGUUUCAUGCCCGAUCCGAAAAUCCGACUGCCCGAUCCAUCAGUUGAGUGGUAACCGGGUAAGUGGGUUUCGGUCCUCUCUUCUUCGCACUAUCCACAGCCCGGCGGUUCUUGGCUCCGCGUUUUGCCUCCGCUCCGAGAUCCUGAAGCUUCGACCCGCAGGAGCUUGAGUACUUCCUUCUUCCCGGAAUACGUAGAUUCUGUCGGAGCCUUUCCUACCCCCUCGGUCCUUCCUCUGCUCUCUCUCUCCGCUCCGAAAAUGCCCUAGCUCCGUCGAUCCGCCGGAGUUCCAUCCGACAACCCUCGCCGAAUCGUUCCGCCAAGCUCGCCCUUCUUCAACUGCUGCAGCCGCUUAUCUCUGCUCUACUGUGUAAAGUUGACAUUUUUUUGCUAACUUCCCCUGUUAACUACUACUUCUAUCAUUUAUUCUUCAGGGUUGUUACACUUUCUCUCUUUUUCUAUAAAUUCUAGAAGAUUUUUCU